rnacentral:tRNA from 1 species
GCAAUUUUAGUUUAAUUUAGAAUAAUAGUUUGUCUAGCUGUAGGUGAUUUAUAUCAGGUUGCU